ACACCGUUGGUGAAGUGGUUAUCAUGCUUGCCUUCCAUAAAUAGUGACCAAUGGGUAUAGAGCAAGCGGCUCGGGUUCGAUUCCCGAACGGUGUA